AAAGCUAACAAAUGAUUCCUAUUCUAGAUUCAUAAAAGAAAAAAUAUGUUAAGGUUAUAUAUGUUUAUUUAUGCUAUGAUUAUAUUGUUUUCCAUAUUUAUUUCAAUAAGAGCAAAUAGCUUAAUUGGGUGCCGAAAUAAUGAGGAUUGUCGAGAUCAUGUGUGUGAUGAAGCUAACGACAUUCCAUUUUGUGCGUUUCAAUUAGGGAUUUGUGCAUGUUUGGAAAGGCCCACAAUGCACAAAAUAAGUGGCUUGUGAAUAUACACCAGGAGAUUUUGUCUCUUGUCUUUAUCACUUAGAUUAUAUAGGAAUUCUACGAAUAUAAAAUAAUUAUAAAUUCAAUUAUAUUUAAAUAAAUACAUGUAAAUUUAUUUUGACUCUUGUUUCCGCUGUCAAAUAAAAAUAUAUUCAGCUAGUUUUUCAUGGCCUGAAAUUUUUUGGAGUAUGGUUUCUCAUAAAAUUAAAAUAUACUAUGAUUUUUUUAUUGCGAUAAAUCUUCUCAAGGAUGGUUGUCCACAAACUCAUCCUCGUCCGACUCUUUAUGAAAAAUAUACACCAGGUUCAUCAUAAAAAACGGGAUAAUUUUUUUUCUCGCUUCUAGAAGAGAAUGUGUUAGCAAAAUCACAUGGGGAUCCACAAAAUACGCAUGAGAAGGUUACAACUAAGGAGAAUAACGAAUAAAGCAUAACAAAUAAGGUCAGCAUAACCUUAUUUGCAAACUCUUGAUAUUUCCAACCAACUUAAUUUUUGCAUCAACAAUGUAUAGGAUUGAUUCUUUUUGCAAACUCUUGAUCUUUCCUUCAUGUAGCUCCAUUGUAUUUAUAGGCAAAUAAGACCUUUGGAGGAGCGUAUGAGAGAGGGAUUUGAAAUUCAAAUCCAAUUGACAUGUCACAAAGUUGUGCUGUCAUUUUUACUGUGAAUAGUGCGUUAUCGUUGCUUCAGUAACAUUUUUGUUGGUUCAAUUUGCACUUCACUUUUGUUACAUGGUUUCUAUUGCAUUUACGUGGCCCAUAUAAGUCCAUAAGAAGGAAUCUUUUCCUAAUUAGGGUUGGACAACUUGUAUUCAAGUGGGAGAAAAGCCAUGUGCUUAUUUGUACUUGUUUUUGUGACUCAUUGUCCUUUGUUCAUGAAAGGAUAAACCUUGUUGGAUUCUUGUUCCCUCUAUGUUCCCUUGUUGUUGUUGGCAAAUAUCUUCCAUCCACAAUGUGUAUGUGGAAGUUGCUUUCAAAUGAGGCAUUACACUUUUGGAUCCAAUAAUGGCAAGGCCCGUGAAGAUUAUUUAUUCCAUGUUUGGCAUAACUCCAACAUAAGUGUUUCCUUAAAAUGCUACCAUUCUUGGUGAGACAAAAAGGAAUAUCUUCAUGUGAAGCUUUUAUAUCAUUUAGGUCAAGACUUUAAGUUGCUCCUUUUAUUUCUACUCAUUGCUUGUAUGUUUUGCUUGUCCAUUGGUUCAUCAUCCAUAA